rnacentral:rRNA from 1 species
UAGAGGUGUCAGAAAAGUUACCACAGGGAUAACUAGCUUAUGGCAGCCAAGCAUUCAUAGUGACGUUGCUUUUUGAUCCUUCGAUGUCAACUCUUCCUAUCAUUGUGAAGCAUAAUUCGCCAAGUGUUGGAUUGUUCACCCACCAAUAGGGAACGUGAGCUGGGUUAAGACCGUAGUGAGACAAGUUAGUUUUAUCCUACUGAUGAGUUGUGCUGCAAUAUUAAUUCAACUUAGUACGAGAGGAACUGUUGAUUCACAUAAUUGGUCAUUGUGUUUGGUUGAAAAGCCAGUGGUGCGAAGCUACCAUGUGUAGGAUCAUGACUAAACGCCUCUAAGUCAAAAUCCAUGCUAGACACGGUGCUAUCUACUUCCUCGGUUGUUACCCGACUGAUACUAGGGGCGCCCGUGCGUCCCCAAUAGCAUGUGUCGAGAGUUCCCCCCAGGGUGGAAGAAGAUGUUGCCUCGGGGGCUCUGAAUCGCAAUUCCAAAUGAUCGAGGAGAUGAAUCCUUUGCAAACGACUUAAAUAUGCGAUGAGGUAUUGUAAGUGGCAUAGUAGCCUUGUUGCUACGAUCCACUGAGAUUCAGCCUC